rnacentral:tRNA from 1 species
GCCGGGAUCGCCUAGUGGUACAGUAAUGCACUAAAGGGCGGCAGCCUGCUAAGCUGUUUGGCUAUAAAAGGCCUCCGCGGGUUCGAUUCCCGCUCCCGGCG